GCAUUGAUGGGUAGUUGGUCUGAGAGGACGACCAGCCACAUUGGGACUGAGAUACGGCCCAGACUCCUACGGGAGGCAGCAGUGGGGAAUCUUGGACAAUGGGGGAAACCCUGAUCCAGCGACACCGCGUGGGGGAUGAAGGCUUUCGGGUUGUAAACCCCUUUUCUGGGGGAAGAAUAAGGUUGGGAGGAAAUGCCCAUCCGAUGACGGUACUCCAGGAAUAAGCAUCGGCAAACUUCGUGCCAGCAGCCGCGGUAAGACGAAGGAUGCGAGCGUUAUCCGGAAUUACUGGGCGUAAAGGGCGUCUAGGCGGUUGGGUAAGUCACUUGUGAAAGCCCUCGGCUUAACCGAGGAAAGUCUCGUGAUACUGCCCAGCUUGGGUGUAGGAGAGGGGAGUGGAACUCACAGAGUAGCGGUGGAAUGCGUAGAUACUGUGAGGUACCCCGAUGGCGAAGGCAACUCCCUGGCCUACUACCGACGCUGAAGCGCGAAAGCGUGGGGAGCAAAGGGGAUUAGAUACCCCCGUAGUCCACGCCCCAAACGAUGUUCACUUGGUGUCGGCCGCAAAUAUAGGUCGGUGCCGGAGCUAACGCGUUAAGUGAACCGCCCGAGGAGUACGGCCGCAAGGCUAAAACUCAAGAGAAUUGACGGGUCCCCGCACAAGCGGUGGAGCACGUGGUUUAAUUCGAUUUUAAGCGAAGAACCUCACCCAGGCUUGACAUACUAGUGGUAGGAACCUGAAAGGGGGACGACCCUGCCUUCGGGUAGGGAGCUAGUACAGGUGAUGCAUGGCUGUCGUCAGCUCGUGUCGUGGGAUGUAGGGUUAAGUCCCGAAACGAGCGCAACCCUUGUCGUUAGUUGCCAGCGGGUAAUGCCGGGGACUCUAGCGAGACUGCUGGUGAAUAGCCGGAGGAAGGCGGGGAUGACGUCAAGUCAUCAUGUCCCUUAUGCCUGGGGCGACACACGUGCUACAAUGGGGGGUACAGAGGGUCGCAAUACCGUAAGGUGGAGCCAAUCUCAAAAAACCCUCCUCAGUUCGGAUUGAGGUCUGCAACUCGACCUCAUGAAGCCGGAAUCGCUAGUAAUCGUAGGUCAGCCAUACUACGGUGAAUAUGUACUCGGGGAUUGUACACACCGCCCGUCACACCAACCGAGUGGGGGGUACCUGAAGUCGUCUCCAUGAGGCGCCGAGGGUAACCUUCGCAAGAGGGGUGAAGUCGUAACAAGGUA
rnacentral:rRNA from 1 species